rnacentral:rRNA from 1 species
AUUGAACGCUGGCGGCAUGCUUUACACAUGCAAGUCGAACGGUAACAGGUCUUUCGGGAUGCUGACGAGUGGCGAACGGGUGAGUAAUGUAUCGGAACGUGCCCAGUAUGGGGGAUAACUACUCGAAAGAGUGGCUAAUACCGCAUGAGAUCUCUGGAUGAAAGCGGGGGACCGUAAGGCCUCGCGCUACUGGAGCGGCCGAUAUCAGAUUAGGUAGUUGGUAGGGUAAGAGCCUACCAAGCCAACGAUCUGUAGCUGGUCUGAGAGGACGACCAGCCACACUGGGACUGAGACACGGCCCAGACUCCUACGGGAGGCAGCAGUGGGGAAUUUUGGACAAUGGGCGCAAGCCUGAUCCAGCAAUGCCGCGUGCAGGACGAAGGCCUUCGGGUUGUAAACUGCUUUUGUACGGAACGAAAAGCUUCUGGUUAAUACCUGGGAGUCAUGACGGUACCGUAAGAAUAAGCACCGGCUAACUACGUG